AGAUGAAGUUGCUGGGAAGGCUUCUCCAUCAGCUUGGAUGAAUAAAGUUUUGAAGCCCUUGGAGCCUCCUGCAGAUGUAUCUACAGGGAGGACUUCUCCAGCUUCUCCAGCUCCUACCUUGGAUGCUAUACGCAAGCCCAGCUCCCAUCACAGUGGUACUCCAACAGGGAAAGUCCAAGAUACAACAGAUAAGAUGUCCCUGCAACCAUCCAAACAGAUUAGGCAAGAGCUGAAGGCACCCCUGCAGACAAGAGAAG